rnacentral:lncRNA from 1 species
AAACUUCUAUGGAAAAACUCCGCACGCAACGCGCAUUCUUCGCUCUCCGAUCAAUGCGGAAGAUUAUUGCACACGCAGUAUUUCUUCGCGUCAGCGUCUGCGUCUCAUUUGCGCUCCUCGCUCAUUUUUAUCCUCACUUUUGCCGACGUUUCUAAAUUUCUUUUCACAUAGGAGCAACGUCUCUCUUCGAUCCACGAUAAUCCGCGCUUUGAUGUUCCGAUCGCAGCAUCGGUAUUUUAUUAAUCGUAUCAAUCUUGUCAAGUUUCACGGUUCAACCGGCAUCCGUAAAAUUUCAGGUAUCCUCCUGAAUUAACUCGGUGCUCAAGUUGGUGGAUGGAGCGUUCUCAAGGCACCAUCGAGGAACGAGGUACCGUCCUGUGGUCGAGCUGCCUGGUGCUGGUGCACACCGCAGUGACUUGGAGUAAAUUGACGCGCGGGUAGAUGGUAUACGUACAAUGUACAAUGUGACGAGUAUUAGUCGAAAUGGUCGACAUGUCCCGCGACAAAGUCCCGGCGAAGUUAUACGGUGGUUCGCAGCUACCCUCUUGAUUCCUCCCUCUCUCUGCCUCCCUUGCCGAGAUAAGCAGAGAUACCCGUGAAUCCUAGAAACUUUCAGAAACAGUGAUAUCCGUGACCACCGUGCGCUGAGUUCUCGGCAAGUAAUCAUUAAUUAAUUGCAUUUUGUAAUCAACAGACCGUUCGCCGCGCGUUAAACUCCGUCUGUUUGUUCGCCAUACGGUGGUGCAAAAUGGAUACGUGGACUGCCACGUCGGUGUAACUCAAGUAUCGGUAUAAAUAAAAAAUAGCUGGGUCGCGUCGGUGCAGCGUUCGUAACGUUUUAUUGAAGAACGACAAAUAUUUCGAGAACACGCUGUCGGCUUAUAUAAGCACACGCUCGACGAGAGCUUGAUUCGAUUUCUAAAUAUUUUUCUAUCAAUCGUUUCAGCGUUCCCCCGUGGCGCACGAACGGUUCUCGCGAAAACACCGCACCGCGUUCGUCUUACGAGCGAAAUAAUCAAGCACGGAUAACGAAUAAAUUAUCAGGAAGCCUUUAGCGUGCAUCGCCGUGCAAAGACGUUCGAUUAUGAUGAAAGAUGUGUGACUGCAAAAGGACACGAGAUCUUGUCGGACGCGAGACACGUACCUGAUUCGUCCCAAAUGGAGAAUUUCCUCGCCGGCAGAAAAAUGGGGAUAAUUUCGCGAUAUUCUCAGCGCCCAGCCACCCCCUCUUAUUUCUCAACUUUCUUCGCAGGCCGGUAAAAGUCCAACCGCGAAGAAAAGGGCGAUGCUGGAAUUGCCGGCGGGUCGUCGGUAAUUGGCCCAACUCCAUCCACCAUCCUGUUAGCGGUGACCAUUUUUCGCCAUUUGUGUGCACGGCGGUGAGAAAACAUCGAUGCGGCGAACGUACAUACACGCUGACGCGCACGGCCGAGCAACCCCUCCGCAUAUUUUCGCGCACGCACCGGCGGAAACGAAGUGGUGCUGUUUAAUUCAUGAAUUAGUGAAUUCGCGUGGACGCGAAAGAUCGUCUACAAAUUGCUUCGUUUACCGUGCCGGGUUUAUGGGGAUGCCUCGGACUCGGCGUUCGUCCGAGGGUCAGAAUAUCAGGGCGGCGGAGUCUUCAAGCGGCACAGUCAACCCCGAGCGAGUCGAUCGAUGUCGAACUCCGUCGACGAUAAAUCUUUUAUCCGAUGUUGGGUCGCAGGCACACUGAUCGCGGAUGUUGUCGACACGUUCCUUUUUAUGAAGAAGAAGAUUACAGAUUCUCUUACUUUCGGCGGAGCGUUCUCAUCUCUCGAACGAUUGGCAAUUGACAAACGGGUUGUAAAACUGCAUAAUUAAAGUAAUCUCGGAGAGUGCGGUCUUGCGCUUUCACAACCCCCGGUUCACGGUUUCGAUAAGUCCGUGGGAGAGACGUACACGUUCGCGCGUACGUACGUACACGGACGAGCGCGAACGCACGGCGCGCACACGUAUACACUUGUGCACGUUAUAUUUCGUGUGUACACGUAGGACGGAGUAAUAUCUCGAAAUCCAUUAGCGCCGUCUCCGCGGACCGCAAUCUUGAUAAUUCCACGUGGACUCGGCUCGAGAGUGCGGGCGGGCGAGCAAGAAUCACCGUUGGAUGCGGGAUACACGUCGGCCAGGGCGGGCGCGCUCGCGAGAGCGCGAAAGGGUUGCUUGCGGAAGGACGGGGAUGAAGGGACGGGCCGGGAGGGAAACGCGGAAGACGGAGACAGCGCCGGAGGACUGCCAGGGAGGAAAGAGGAAGAGAAAGAGAAAGAGAGAGAGAGGCCACCGAGAGACGUAUGACUCCCCGGGGAAAUUUAGGUGCGACCUCCAUGUAUCACCGAACCCGCCGUAAGUAGGUACGUAACCGACGUAGGUACGUACGUGUACGUUCACGUGGAUCCGCGCGCGCGAGCAAGCGCGUGCCGCAUGCUCGGAGCCCGGUGCAUAUACGUACACUCUUCCGAAAGAUUGCGAUCGGAGGCGGUGAGAAGGAUGCACGUGGUUUCCUCUCCCCGAGCGCACGGUCCACGAGACAAUUCCUCGAUAGAGCUGAUCAUUUCCGAGGGAUUCUCGGAGCUCGGAUAAGGUCAUCGAUAAGUGAUGUAUUCCAGGAUGCGUCUGCGUUCGUACAGCAUCUCUCAGGAAUCUGAAUCAUAGAUGCUACGCUACCUCUUGCGUGACGUCACCAUGCGACUAAUAGGCGCAAAAUCCAGAUGACACCUUCCAAAGUCAAUCCCGUGCCGGUCGUCGCUGCUACCGUCACUAUCGUUUUAAUUCUUCUUUUUUUUGCAGAGUGAGAAGAAUCGGCGGAUCGCAGACGGGGGAGCGAAAAUUCCGGCAGAAUGGUAAUAAAAUCGAUGCCCCGGAUCUGCUCCGGUUUGUAAUUGAAUCAAAUUAAUCACUCCAGCCGACCUCGAGUCCGCACCCCCGCAGACCGUCGACUCAUCCGCCGCCAUCUCCAAUUAAUAGCGGGGGUUGGAGGACGUGAGCGGGACGCGGGUGUGAAGGGUCAUUCCGGCGUUUCGUUGGAACUUCAUAAAACGAAUCCAAUUACCGGCGAACGUUUGUCAAAGACUCAAAGCCGCUAAAAAGUUUCGGUCCCGCUCACGGAAGUGACGUCACGCACCUGUUUUCGCGUCGUCGUUCAACCCCGUCAGUAGUGAAAAUAAACGAGCGACGAAUCAACAAAACUGGCCACGAAAUAAGGCUGACACGUGGCGCAAAUCGCGCAUAAAAUAACGCUCGAAAGCGGACCGCGACUAAAAUUAAGUCAUUUUAUGAUAUUUUUAUGAAACGACAUUCAUUAUUGUAUAUUGAAGAAGGACGCGAAAAAGUUUUGCCAGAUUCGAGAUAUAUUAAAAUUGUAACAUAACAUUGUAUUGAUAAAAUGUCUAGUUUUCGAAUUCUGGAAUCAGAAGGCAGUCAGGCAGUGUUUUAAAAAUUUCUUAAAAUAUAUUCCUAAAAUACAUGAAGACUUUAUUUCUGAAAUUCCUAUUAUACCUCUACAAGCAAUUUUAAAACAUAAAAGUUCAAAAUAGAAGAAUUUUCUCAAGAAUAUGAAGAAUGAUCCAAUGUCAUUUGCCUUCUAUUAUCUAUAUCUAUUUGAAAGUACAAAUACGUAGAUCGAUAUAAAUAUACUGUGUUUCUGUCACAAAAUCUCCUAAUUUUUCUUCUGGGAAUACAGAAUAAAACUAAACUAUCAUAGAAUAUAUAAUAUAAAUAUAUACAUAAGAUAUUUCUAAUUACGUUCGAUUUAUUAAUCCAUCGAUAAAAUAAAAGAUAAUCAUACUGUAAUAUACUAAUAUUUGGGCCGCUUGUUAAAACCAGUGAAAACAUGAACGUUAUGUGAAUAAAUUUUUACAAUUUUGAUUUUUA